rnacentral:lncRNA from 1 species
GGGGAGGGACAGGAGAUAAGAGCCUUACCUGCAAAGGCUGCCCAAGGAACGUACUCAAUUCAUGCUUUUUCCAAUUGCCCUGGUCCACCUUCAUUCAAAAUUUCCCUACCCAUUUUGAACAGCACCAGUGAGCUCACAGUCCUCCCCCCACAAAGGAAGGAUGGAUGCAGGUAUGUUGUGACACUGUGGACUCCCAUCCUCCCAGGUGGACUUUCCGCUGCUGGGGGCCGCAGGUUGGCUUAUGCUGGAAGAACCCAAGCUAACCUGACUACCAAAGUGACCCAGAUCUGCUGUUCACUUUCCUGAUUAUGGCCAUAUAAUCUCCCCUCCCCCUCUCCGUCUCCACUGCUGCUUCCUCCAGCUGUACAGAAAAUGGGCCUGGACUUCGAACAGGGGCAUUUGUUAAAUGCUGUUGCGGAAAAGUAAUUAUCCAACAAUCAGACCUAUACAUGCAGGGGGAAAUCACAUUCAUUAAUACCACCCUGGGCAAUCCCAAGGGGCAGAGGGGUUAGUAUUAAUCUGACCCCUUUUCAGCCUUAACCUUGGUGCGCUGACCACCCCAAACUGUGAGUGUGUGUAUCUAAAUUGCUUGAGAGUCAAUUGAACACAUUAAAUUUUUAAAAGGAUUUAACUGAAUUUUUUUUAUAGCUGCUGAAAGGGGAUAAUUUAUUAGCUCUGAGUAAAUUAAAAUCUCAAGCAGGGGUGAAGACUUUAGAGAUUACUUGAAGACAUUUUAUAUGCUUUCAACAGGAAUGUUCUUUCAAAUGGUCCAAAAAAUCAGCUAAUUUUGUCCUAUUUUGUAAAUUACCUCCUAAGGCUGCAAGGUUAGAUUACAAUUGCUAAAAAAAAAAGUUACACCUUCUAAAGGGGGAGGGGAGAGUUGCACUUUUAAAAUAUAGCACUCUUUUGUUUUUCUUAAUUCACAAGUCAGAGAAAAAGUUGGGUUAAAUACUGCCAAGCCACAAAGGGGCGUAUUUUUCAUAUGGUCAUUGGGUAACAGGGUAAUGUAGGAUAAUUUAAUUUAUAUGCCCUAGGAAAAGGACAAGACCCUGUUUUAAACAAAUGCAAGAUUUAUAGUUUCCCCAAACCAGGAGAGCCUCAGGUUACCUACUUCACAGUCUCCAUGGCUGGUUCCACUGAUGGACAGUGAGCUGCAAAAA